CACAUGUGACGAGUUGAUCAUGGCUCAGAGACGCUGGCGGCAUGCCUAACACAUGCAAGUCGAACGAAGCCUUCGGGCUUAGUGGCGCACGGGUGCGUAACGCGUGGGAACCUACCAUCAGGUUCGGAAUAACAGUUAGAAAUGACUGCUAAUACCGGAUAAUGUCUUCGGACCAAAGAUUUAUCGCCUUUUGAUGGGCCCGCGUUGGAUUAGCUAAUUGGUGGGGUAAAGGCCUACCAAGGCGACGAUCCAUAGCUGGUCUGAGAGGAUGAUCAGCCACACUGGGACUGAGACACGGCCCAGACUCCUACGGGAGGCAGCAGUGGGGAAUAUUGGACAAUGGGCGAAAGCCUGAUCCAGCAAUGCCGCGUGAGUGAUGAAGGCCUUAGGGUUGUAAAGCUCUUUUACCAGGGAUGAUAAUGACAGUACCUGGAGAAUAAGCUCCGGCUAACUCCGUG
rnacentral:rRNA from 1 species